UACGUAGGGGGCAAGCGUUGUCCGGAUUUAUUGGGCGUAAAGAGCGUGUAGGCGGCCAGGUAGGUCAGCUGUGAAAACUCGAGGCUCAACCUCGAGAUGUCGGCUGAAACCAUCUGGCUAGAGUCCGGAAGAGGAGAAUGGAAUUCCCGGUGUAGCGGUGAAAUGCGCAGAUAUCGGGAAGAACACCCGUGGCGAAGGCGGUUCUCUGGGACGGUACUGACGCUGAGACGCGAAAGCUAGGGGAGCAAACAGG
rnacentral:rRNA from 1 species